rnacentral:rRNA from 1 species
AUUGAACGCUAGCGGGAUGCCUUACACAUGCAAGUCGAACGGAGUGGCGAACGGGUGAGUAAUGUAUCGGCACGUGCCCAGUAGCGGGGGAUAACUACGCGAAAGCGUAGCUAAUACCGCAUACUAUUGGAGCGGCCGCUCUCGGCUUAGCUAGUUGGUGGGGUAACGGCUCACCAAGGCGACGAUCCGUCGCUGGUUUGCGAGGAAGACCAGCCACACGGGGACUGCGACACGGCCCAGACUCCUACGGGAGGAAGCAGUGGGGAAAGUUGGACAAUGGGGGAAACCCUGAACCAGACAACCAGCGGGUGCGAUGAAGGCCGGCGGGUUGUAAAGCAAUUUUGGCAGGAAAGCGGUAACUGCAGAAGAAGGAGCGGCUAACUCCGUGCCAGCAGCCGCGGUAAUUC